ACGAACGCUGGCGGCGUGCUUAACACAUGCAAGUCGAACGAGGCCCAACUGGUGGCAACACCAGGGAAGGCCUAGUGGCGAACGGGUGAGUAACACGUGAGGAACCUGCCCCGAAGACUGGGAUAACUCUCCGAAAGGAGUGCUAAUACCAGAUGUCCUCUUACGGUCGCAUGGCUGUUUGAGGAAAGGUCCGCUGCUUCGGGAGGGCCUCGCGGCCUAUCAGCUUGUUGGUGGGGUAACGGCCCACCAAGGCGACGACGGGUAGCUGGUCUGAGAGGACGAUCAGCCACACUGGGACUGAGACACGGCCCAGACUCCUACGGGAGGCAGCAGUGGGGAAUCUUGCGCAAUGGGCGAAAGCCUGACGCAGCAACGCCGCGUGCGGGAUGACGGCCUUCGGGUUGUAAACCGCUUUCAGUGGGGACGAAAACAGACGGUACCCACAGAAGAAGCCCCGGCCAACUACGU
rnacentral:rRNA from 1 species